GAUGAACGCUGGCGGCGUGCUUAACACAUGCAAGUCGAACGAUGAAGCCCAGCUUGCUGGGUGGAUUAGUGGCGAACGGGUGAGUAACACGUGAGUAACCUGCCCUUAACUCUGGGAUAAGCCUGGGAAACUGGGUCUAAUACCGGAUAGGAGCGUCCACCGCAUGGUGGGUGUUGGAAAGAUUUAUCGGUUUUGGAUGGACUCGCGGCCUAUCAGCUUGUUGGUGAGGUAAUGGCUCACCAAGGCGACGACGGGUAGCCGGUCUGAGAGGGUGACCGGCCACACUGGGACUGAGACACGGCCCAGACUCCUACGGGAGGCAGCAGUGGGGAAUAUUGCACAAUGGGCGCAAGCCUGAUGCAGCGACGCCGCGUGAGGGAUGACGGCCUUCGGGUUGUAAACCUCUUUCAGUAGGGAAGAAGCGAAAGUGACGGUACCUGCAGAAGAAGCACCGGCUAACUACGUG
rnacentral:rRNA from 1 species